UACGUAGGGGGCAAGCGUUGUCCGGAUUUAUUGGGCGUAAAGAGCUCGUAGGCGGUUCGGUAAGUCGGGUGUGAAAACUUUGGGCUCAACCCAAAGCCUGCACUCGAUACUGCUGUGACUUGAGUCCGGUAGGGGAGUGGGGAAUUCCUGGUGUAGCGGUGGAAUGCGCAGAUAUCAGGAGGAACACCGGUGGCGAAAGCGCUCAUCUGGCCCAAUACUGACGCUGAGGCGCGAAAGCUAGGGGAGCAAACGGG
rnacentral:rRNA from 1 species